rnacentral:misc_RNA from 1 species
CCACACCUAAAAACUUUCCACGUGAACCGUUUAAUAUUGUUUUGUGCUUUGCGGAAACGUAGAGCUAAACGAAGGUCGAACCGAGUAGUACUUAUGUACAAAAGGCUCCCGAUGUAUUUUUCAAACCCUUUUAAUUAUACUGAACUAUACUCUAGGACGAAAGUCUUGGUUUUAAUCCUAAA